rnacentral:rRNA from 1 species
GUGUAUAAGAGACAGGUGGAUGCCUUGGCACUAGAAGCCGAUGAAGGACGUUACUAACGACGAUAUGCUUUGGGGAGCUGUAAGUAAGCUUUGAUCCAGAGAUUUCCGAAUGGGGAAACCCAGCAUGAGUUAUGUCAUGUUAUCGAUAUGUGAAUACAUAGCAUAUCAGAAGGCACACCCGGAGAACUGAAACAUCUUAGUACCCGGAGGAAGAGAAAGAAAAUUCGAUUCCCUUAGUAGCGGCGAGCGAAACGGGAAGAGCCCAAACCAACAAGCUUGCUUGUUGGGGUUGUAGGACACUCUAUACGGAGUUACAAAGGA